CACGUAGGGGACGAGCGUUGUCCGGAAUCAUUGGGCGUAAAGCGCGCGUAGGCGGCCAGAAAAGUCCGCUGUGAAAACUCGAGGCUCAACUUCGAGCUGUCGGUGGAAACUUUCUGGCUAGAGUCCGGAAGAGGAGAAUGGAAUUCCUGGUGUAGCGGUGAAAUGCGCAGAUAUCGGGAGGAACACCUAUGGCGAAGGCAGCUCGCUGGGACGUUACUGACGCUGAGACGCGAAAGCGUGGGGAGCAAACAGG
rnacentral:rRNA from 1 species